AUAAUUAAAUGUAAAUAAAGCCACUCGAUAAGUAUUAACCUUCGUAAGCAAGCAAAACUAUAAUGAAAAUUUGAAACCCUCUAAUUAAUUAAUCUUGUUCUUGAUUCCCCACAGCAAUAUGAUUUGCACAUGCACCGGCAUCAUCUUGGUUCUCCAUAAUACUGUGACUUGCACCAGCAGUAGCACUAGCACCAGCACCAUCUCCAUCUUGGUUCUCCAUAAUACCGUGGCUUGCA
rnacentral:misc_RNA from 1 species